AUGACCACAUCUCGCUGAAACACUAGUUCUCAUACGAUCACCAAAGUUAAGAAAUGUCUAACCUGGUCAGUACCUAGAUGGGUGACCAUUUGGGAAUACC